UCGGAGGCGACGCUUUCUUCGGCGGCGUGUAGAGGGAGCUUUCCCGCGGAUUGGUAUGAUGGUGAUCUUUGGUGAAGAACUUCGUUGCCACAGAGAGGCCAAGAGCUGCCAUGACAGAUUCUGAAUGACAACUUUCAGCUUAGAGCUUUGAAGACGAUAGAAGCCCAGAAUAUUUCAAAGCAAUCUGUGUAUUGGAAUGAACAAUAGCAAGAUCUGUGUCUGGUGGGAAAACAUACCCAAAGAAAAUGAAGGGAUACAACAUGCAGAACUGCUGGUAGCUCUGCUGACAUGUGACAAGAGAGUCUGGAUUUUACUUUAAUAAGCAUGCUUGGGUUUAGAGGAGAGAGCCACACUCCAACUCCAAAGUAAGCUUUAACCUUUAACUAGACUGGGACUACAAAAAGACAAUUUGCAUUGUCUGCCUGUAGAA